rnacentral:rRNA from 1 species
GCCAACGGCAACAGCACGUUUAUUACACCAGGUCGCAAAGGAUUUCUGAAGUUAAGCAACGCUGCGCAAGGUUGGUAUCUGGACGGGUGACCAUCAGAGACAAAACGUGCUAAGGGCU